UGUUCUGUCUUUGUUUUGAAGGUUUGGCUUGAGCAACAAGUUUGAUACUGAAUUUCCCUCCGUUCUAACAGGGAAGGUGGCCCCAGAAGAAUUUAAGACCAGCAUUGGCCGUGUGAAUGCAUGUUUGAAAAAGGCUCUCCCAGUCAAUGUGAAAUGGCUGCUAUGUGGUUGUCUCUGCUGCUGUUGCACACUGGGUUGCAGCCUAUGGCCUGUUAUUUGUCUCAACAAAAGAUUCCUCUGGCAGCUCUCCUUAAAGACCUCUGCAAGACAAAGUAAGAAAUGACUUCUUUGGGGGCCAAGAGCUCACAGAGCACUUCCCGCUGCUUCUUCGACCCCUACAUUUUGCUCGGCUCUAAAAUCAUCUCAGUUCCAGGUAAGGUCAAAUCCUUCUCCCAUGAUCUGGACCCUGAGGUUCCCCAGUGAGGGUAUGUGUUCAGUGGUAGAUGAUCCCCCUUUCAAACUUUCACAUUUUGGGCACUCACAGGUUUUGGGAUGUCUCCUGGGGCGUGCAGGAGCAAUUUGCUUUCUUCAAAGGGUCUAUGGAUUCUCUUAGCUUUCCUUGUAUAUUCAUGCAGUAGUUUUGGAGCAAGAGUUCAUAAUGUGAAUCUCCACACACUGCUCUAUCCUGAGUAGGAGCUACAACUUAGUCCUGCCUCCUAUCUGCGAUUUUCAUUUCCUCUCCUCAGGCACUCUAUUUCUUUUGAUUGGAGAUUUUAGUCCACUUAUAUUCAAUGUUAUUAUUGCUUGAUUUAUUUCUUUCAUUUUCUUGUUUCCUGCUGUUUUGUUGUCUUCUCUUCCCUCCUUUCCUUUCUAUCUUCCUUUCAAUGAAAGUGAUUUUCCCUGGUGCUGUCUUUUAAUUUCUUGCUUUUUUGGGUUAUCUGUUGUAUAUAUUUUUUUUUAUUUUUGUUUUUUGGUUUUUUUUUUAUUUGA